CCUUACCUGGUCUUGACAUCCACAGAACUUUCCAGAGAUGGAUUGGUGCCUUCGGGAACUGUGAGACAGGUGCUGCAUGGCUGUCGUCAGCUCGUGUUGUGAAAUGUUGGGUUAAGUCCCGCAACGAGCGCAACCCUUAUCCUUUGUUGCCAGCGGUUAGGCCGGGAACUCAAAGGAGACUGCCAGUGAUAAACUGGAGGAAGGUGGGGAUGACGUCAAGUCAUCAUGGCCCUUACGACCAGGGCUACACACGUGCUACAAUGGCAUAUACAAAGAGAAGCGACCUCGCGAGAGCAAGCGGACCUCAUAAAGUAUGUCGUAGUCCGGAUUGGAGUCUGCAACUCGACUCCAUGAAGUCGGAAUCGCUAGUAAUCGUAGAUCAGAAUGCUACGGUGAAUACGUUCCCG
rnacentral:rRNA from 1 species